GUGGCCUAAUGGUUAAGGCGCUGGUUUUCGGUUCAAGAAAAACACCAGAGAUUAGGAGUUCGAAUCUUCUC
rnacentral:tRNA from 1 species